ACAAGUUACAAAGAAUAUGUCUUGCGUCAUGUUCCUUGUCUGGGCUGGCCACCCCGACGGGCACCUGACUGAACUUUAGAAACAUCCCAUCCGUGGGAACAAGAAGAAAUAACUCAAAGUAUCCAAAUGUCUGAAACCCUGAGUCAGAACCUAGAGAAGCCUUAGUAUAAAAGGGAGUCACAGGCAUAGAAUAAUUGGGAGCCUCACUGAGGAGAGGACGCUUUGCCACAGACCCAGACAAUCGGCACUCUAGCCCGCCGUACAAACUAUUGGGACUUCCCCGGAUGAUUGUGGUGUGGAUGUUAAAGAAUGAUCAAGAAAUCAAUGAAUUUGGAAGAACCUUACUUAAGAUGACCACCACGGAUGAGAUGACCACUACGGGCAGAAAGUAAAGCAACCACAAGCUGCGUGCAUCCGCACUUCCAAAUAGGCAUAGUGAGAAGCAAGGUGAACCAAAAAAAAAAAAAAAAUGAUUCCAAUUGCCAGCAAGGAAGGAUUUAUGCAGGAAAUAACUUGACUGAAUAAACAGAACUAGCUAAGACUAGAUUAUUCAAACAUGAGAUUUAUCUCUAAGUCACACAAAGCUGGACAAUGUAGCAAAACUAUCUACUGAUAAUUUCCGAGAUGUAUAAACACUGGUGAUGAGCACGCAUUUAAGACCCUCUUCAAGCCUUAUCCCUGAGAAAGAGACUACAAGAGAGGACAGUUCACAGGCACUGAGGAUGGAAAUUACCCCGGUGCAAGAGGAAGAAGUUCAGAAGGAAGACAUAAUGAAGAAUGAAGUAACAAAUAAUAAAAAUAGAUUGAUAAAAGUAGUCAAAAAUGAUGCGGGGUCGGUGAGCCGAGGAGUCGAAAGAAAGAUUUCUUAGACUCUCAAGAUCUGGCAGUAGUGCUCUUUUAUUUAGAGAAUAGAGAUAGAGUAGCAUGGGGACAGGACCCAUGGGCAGUCAGAGCUUCUGCUGCUGCCCCGAACUGAGGGUUAGGGCCAAAUUUAAGGCAUAGGUAUGUGAGUUAUCUCUUUAUUAGUGCCCGUUUGGUCUGGCCAUUUGGCGGUCCCACAACUUUUAGAUAAGAAUCAAACCGGACUGAGUAAAUGGCAGGCAGAAGUCACCGCUUGAAUUUUAUCCUCGGCUAAAGACAAAGGAGGAUUUGUGGGGGGGAGGGUCAGUUACAUGAGGUUGCCAGACAGUAACCAACUUAAGUUCUUGCCUCUGGCAUUGACCAAGAGCCUCUAGAGAUAAGACCAUCCCCCCCCCCUUCCUGGCACAGAGAGGGAGGCAUCUUCACAGAUAGAGGUUUCCCUUAGAAAUGUAAAUGUUUCCCAACAAAGGGGCAAACAAAUUCCACUCCUUGGAGCCUGAAUCUCAUCUGUAGUUUUAAAACUAACCAGCCUAAAAAUCCUCAUCAUAAGCCAUUUUAAAAUUAAGCAGCCUAAAAAUCCCCAUCAUAAACCCCCCCUGAACCCAUUUUGGCCCCGAAAUCUUUUGGGGAUAUGGACGAUGGUCAGUCUUCUGUAACUACUUCCGGCUGU
rnacentral:lncRNA from 1 species